rnacentral:rRNA from 1 species
GACGAACGCUGGCGGCGUGCUUAACACAUGCAAGUCGAACGGAAAGGCCCUGCUUUUGUGGGGUGCUCGAGUGGCGAACGGGGGAGUAACACGUGAGUAACCUGCCCUUGACUUUGGGAUAACUUCAGGAAACUGGGGCUAAUAUCGGAUAGGAGCUCCUGCUGCAGGGUGGGGGUUGGAAAGUUUCGGCGGUUGGGGAUGGACUCGCGGCUUAUCAGCUUGUUGGUGGGGUAGUGGCUUACCAAGGCUGUGACGGGUAGCCGGCCUGGGAGCGUGGCCGGCCACAUUGGGACUACGGUACGGACCAGUCUCCAACGGGAGGCAAUGGUGGGGAGUCUUACACAGUGGGCGGGCGCCUGUGACGGCGGCGCCGCGUGCGGAAUGCCGGCCUUCGGGUUGAGAACCGCUUUCGCCUGAGACGAAGCGUGAGUGACGGUACUGAGUAAAGAAGCACCGGCUAACUACGUG